GCUAGCGGCGCGCUUAAUGCAUGCAAGUCGAACGAUGAGGCCCCUACGGGGGUACAUCAGUGGCAGACGGGUGAGUAACACGUAGGUAACCUGCCCUCGAGACGGGGAUAACGGCUGGAAACGGUCGCUAAGACCCGAUAUAGUCUGACCUUCGGGAGAAGGUGAGAGGAAAGGCUUCGGUGCUCGGGGAGGGGCCUGCGGCCCAUCAGCUAGUUGGAGAGGUAACGGCUCCCCAAGGCAAUGACGGGUAGGGGGUGUGAGAGCAUGGCCCCCCACACUGGGACUGAGACACGGCCCAGACUCCUACGGGGGGCAGCAGCAGGGAAUAUUGCGCAAUGGACGGAAGUCUGACGCAGCGACGCCGCGUGGAUGACGAAGGCCUUCGGGUUGUAAAAUCCUUUUCCGGGCGAUGAGGAAGGACACUAGCCUGGGAAUAAGCGUCGGCUAACUACGUGCCAGCAGCCGCGGUAAGACGUAGGACGCGAGCGUUAUCCGGACUUACUGGGCGUAAAGCGCCUGCAGGCGGUCAGGUAAGUCGGUUGUGAAAGCCCCGUGCUCAACGCGGGGAGGCCAAGCGAUACUGCGUGACUUGAGGGCGGAAGAGGGGAGUGGAAUUCCCGGUGUAGCGGUAAAAAUGCGCAGAUAUCGGGAGGAACACCAGUGGCGAAGGCGGCUCCCUGGACCGCACCUGACGCUCAGAGGCGAAAGCUAGGGGAGCGAACAGGAUUAGAGACCCUGGUAGUCCUAGCCCUAAACGCUGGAUGCUAGGUGUAGGGCUGAUGAGGCUCUGUGCCGGAGCGAACGCGAUAAGCAUCCCGCCUGGGAACUACGGCCGCAAGGCUAAAACUCAAACGAAUUGACGGGGACCCGCACAAGCAGCGGAGCGUGUGGUUUAAUUCGAUGCUACACGAAGAACCUUACCUGGGUUUGACAUGUUGGUGGUACCGAACCGAAAGGGGAGGGACCCUUCGGGGAGCCAACACAGGUGCUGCAUGGCCGUCGUCAGCUCGUGCCGUGAGGUGUCGGGUUAAGUCCCGUAACGAGCGCAACCCUUGCUCUUAGUUAUACGUGUCUAAGGGGACUGCCGGCGACAAACCGGAGGAAGGUGGGGAUGACGUCAAGUCAGCAUGGCCUUGAUAUCCAGGGCUACACACACGCUACAAUGGCCGGUACAAAGGGCAGCCAAC
rnacentral:rRNA from 1 species